UAUUGAUAUGCUUAAGUUCAGCGGGUAGUCCUACCUGAUUUGAGGUCAGAUUGUCAAUGCCUAUGUUACUUAUAGUAAGUAACACAGUUUUUGUCUCGCAAAGGAGACGGUUAGAAGCACGGACACGAUCAUACUUCACGACCACGGCGUAGACGUUUAUCACACCGAAGACGAUCCGUAAAGGUUCGCACUGAUACGUUUCAGAGGAGUCGAUAUUCUUUGCAGAGCCGACACGACCUCCAAGUCCAAGCCUUUGAGAACCGAUAAAAGCUUUCAAAGGUUGAGAAUUCCAUGACACUCAAACAGGCAUGCUCCUCGGAAUACCAAGGAGCGCAAGGUGCGUUCAAAGAUUCGAUGAUUCACUGAAUUCUGCAAUUCACAUUACUUAUCGCAUUUCGCUGCGUUCUUCAUCGAUGCGAGAGCCAAGAGAUCCGUUGCUGAAAGUUGUAUUUAAAAUGCGUUAUACGCGAUGUUUACAUUCUAUAACUGAAGCGUGUGUAUGGUAAAACAUAGGCUCAGGCUUUCCUUGAGGCUCUCGACGAUGAAGUCGAAAGCCCCGCGUCCGACCUGAAACCUACAACAAGUGCACAGGGGUUGAAGAGUGGAAUGAAGCCAGGUGUGCACAUGUCCCGACUCUGUUAAGAACGGGACCAGCGACAACCCGUUUCAAAAACUCGAUAAUGAUCCUUCCG
rnacentral:misc_RNA from 1 species